rnacentral:misc_RNA from 1 species
GUGCACGUCUGAAUCGCUUUCUGGUUGACCUUUCUCUUUCUCUCUCACACUUGUGCACCUAUUGUAGGUCCUCGAAAGGGGAUCUAUGUUUUUCUACACACCCAUCGUAUGUCUACAGAAUGUUAUCAAAGGUCUUACCGAAAAGAGGGUCACUUUCAGUUCCCUCCUAAUAGAGGACUUGCGAAUUUUAUACAACUUUCAGCAAUGGAUCUCUUGGCUCUCGCAUCGAUGAAGAACGCAGCGAAUCGCGAUAAGUAAUGUGAAUUGCAGAUUUUCAGUGAAUCAUCGAAUCUUUGAACGCACCUUGCGCUCCUUGGUAUUCCGAGGAGCAUGCCUGUUUGAGUGUCAUGAAUUUCUCAACCACCCGAUCCUUGUG